GUUUGCCUGUGCGUGGAUGGUGUUUGGCACUAGGGACUGGUGUGUUUUCCUGUGUGAUUAUGGUGUUCAGCACCAAGGACAGGCAUGUCUACCU
rnacentral:pre_miRNA from 1 species